CUGACACCUUCAGCAGGGCUGACACCUUCAGUCUGAGUAAAAAGGAAGGUCAUUACAUGCAGUUUGUGGAGUUGAUUUACUCUGUUCAGUAGAAUGGGGGAAACCAAAAGACCAUGUCUGACCUGGAUUUUAAAGGGUUUAAUGACGGCUGUCCUUGGAAUGCUUGCAGCUGGGAAGACCAUGUCAUGCUCAGCAGAGAAGCUCAAUAUGCUCACACGACUAAGAGGGGACCCAGUCAACAUCGACUGUCCUCUCCCUUUCGAUCAAAUUGAAGCUGUUUCUGUAACUUUGAUGAGGUCAAAACACAGAAAAGUUUGCACCAAAACUUAUAAUAACAAUCAAUGGAUGGGAAAUUGUACCCGUUACAAUAUAUCGUGGAAUAAUGAGACAAAAGCAAUAUAUGCAAGUAUACAACAGCUCCAGAUAAAUGACUCUGAUAUAUACACCUGUGAAGUGUCUCAAAUGUUUCCGCCCCAACAAAAUAAAAUGCAAAACACAUCUCUUUGUGUAACAGCCCGUCCCACUGUGACUGUGUCCCAGGUGGAGGGGUCCAGUGGACCCCCACUGUUAGUCUGCGUUGCCCACAGCUUUUACCCAGGUAGAGUAGAGCUGGUGUGGCUUCGUGACGGACAGCACCUCAAUGUCACGCCCACACUCUCUGCCAACAUGGACGGCACCUUCAGUCUCAACACGUCCCUGUCUCUGUCUUCAGAGCAAGCUAAGGAUGAGGUGUUCACCUGCUGGGUCAACCACUCCACUCUCAGCCAGCCCAUCACUUUCAACUAUACUCUAUCUCUCAGUAGAGAGAAGAGACAUAUGCUCAAAGAUCUGCAUAUAAUUUCAAUAGUGUGUGGGACAGUCUUUGUUGGACUGAUCAUCGUUUUUGGACCUACCAUCAAAAAGGUUUGUCACUCUGCUCAAGAAAGAACAACUGAUAGUGCUUCUCCUGAAUCACCUUCAACAACAGCCAGUGAGAUUUACUCCACACUAGGAAACCACCAGCCAGUCCAGCUGUAAAAAAAUCCAGCCGGAGGAUACCCAGCUCUCUGUUAACUCUCAACAUUCAAGUUAAUAGAGAAAAGAACAGAAAUAGUGUUUUAACUUUAGACUCAAAGACCUUGUGUUCUCUAACGAGUCAACAAGCUCAUGUCUCAACUUUGGAAAAGCAAUCAACUAUAUGGGCAAGCUUGGUUUACUCAGUAUUGACGAUUAGUAUUCAUCCCAACUGCUGGAUUAAUUUACAGCCUGCAACAACCACCAGAACGUUAUUUAAGCUACAUACCAAUGUAAUCUCUUCCACUCCUACAUACUGUACAUCAUGCUAAUUCAUUUUAUCUUACCCUUUUUGUGUGCAAGAUUUAAAAAUAUUUCUUGAGAAUUUUUUAAUUAACACAUACACUCAGUGAUUACUUUAUUAGGUCUAUCUGUACCUAAUGCAAAUAUUUAAUCACCCAAUCAUGUGGCAGCAAGUAAAUUCAUAAAAUCAGAAUGGGGAAGAAAUGUGAUCUAAGUUGACCGUGAAAUGAUUGUUGGUGCCAGACAGGGUGGAUUGAGUAUCUCAGAAAAUGCCCAUCUCCUGGGAUUUUCACACAGUCUCUAGAGUUUGCAAAGAAUGGUAAGAAAAACAUCCAGUGAGCAGCAGUUCUGAGAGCAGAAACAUGUUGUUAAUGGGAGAGGUCAGAGGAGAAGGGCCAGACUCGUCAAAGCUGACAGGAAGGUGACAGUAGUGCAAAUAGCCAUGCAUUACAAUAGUGGUAUGCAUUAAAUUACAUGACAUUAUUGGCAUUUGGCAGACACUCUUAUCCAGAGCGACGUACACUUGAUUAGAAUAAGCAGGAGACAAUCCUCCCCUGGAGCAAUGUAGGGUUAAGGGCCUUGCUCAAGGGCCCAACGGCUGUGCGGAUCUUAUUGUGGCUACACUGGGAUUCGAACCAUCUCUUAACACACAACGUGUCAAACCUCUAAGUGGAUAGGUUACAGCAGCAGACUAAAGACUAACAAAAUAAGCAAACGAGCCAAAUUCAUUUCAAGCCCUAUAGCCUUUUCCAUGUCAAUUCAACACACUUUCGGAUCGCAUCGUCACAGACUUCAAUGGGAUUUGGCAUAUUGAUUUGAGCCCUAUGAAAGCAACAGUCUUGCAUUUAAAGAAGUAUUUUUAUGGUUUGGAAACAAUUUGUUUUCUUUGUGUAAGGGUCAUUUUCUUAAUUGAUUCUUAAUUGACAAUGUGUGUUAACAUGACGAUGAUCAUGGGGUUAAAAAUAACCUUUUUUAACCACUUUCUGAAUUAAGUACUUACUUGGAGUCUUUCUCUGUCUCCCAGCAGACAGCCUUUGACCAUAAUGUCUCUGCUUCUUUGGAAGGGGGUAGCUAGCACAUUCUGAUUUUAUAGCAUGGUCAACAAGGGGUAUUCAGAUGACAAAAUACUGAUAAAUGUUAGUGGCCAGCUUCAUGUCUUUUUGUUUUGCUAAAGCCUCCCCUUCUGGAAAAGUGUGUAUAAUAUGCGGAUUCAAAUCAGAAAGCUGAUAAUCAUUCUCACUUUCUGUCAUUUCUUUGCAAAUAAAUAAAGUUAAUUCAA